GCAUGCAGACUGGAGAGGAGGAGAGACAAAAAGCAUGGAGGAAGUGAGCGGCAUGCGGCCAUGUGCUCAGGUAAUAAGUUAUCACUUCUUCUUAAAAAAAAAAAAAAAAAAACAAUAACACUGUUUGUUUUGACUUCUCAAUUCUGUCUUCUUGCAUCCUUUUUGUCUUUUUUGUCCCCCAGAAAUUUAACAUAAAAAAGGUAGGAGCCUUGUUGCUGCUUGUCACAUGUCACUCUUUUAAUCAACAUGUUGCAUGGACAACUUUUAGUAUUCAUUCUGGUUGGAUGACAGAGAUGGUUAUUCACACGUGAGAUGUCCUUGCCAGCGUGUGUACGACGUGUGUGUGUGUGUUCAUGUGUGUGUGUGUGUGUGAAGAGCAGCAGCGAUGGUAGAAUAUUGGCAACACUCAGGAAUGUGUGAGACUUCGCCCCAGAUCUCUUUGUUCCCUUCGCUCUCAUUCUGCCUUUUUUCGCUCUCUUCUUCGUCUUCUCACAGGGUUGCACAACACACACACAGACACAUACACACACACGUGCACACAUGCGCACAGUUUUUUGCAAGAAAACCAGUUGAAACUUCCCACCAGCGGUAAAGAAAUGUACGGAAUGUGAUUAUCGCAUGUUUAUUUUAUCAUCCCCUGAAAAAAAAGGAAAGAAAAAAAAGAGAUCAAAUCCGGUGUGAAAUGCGUGCAUGUACGUAUGGCGUCAACGUGUUCUUGUCUUUCUAUAUCCGUGUGGCACAACUUUGACAACACAGCCUGGGGAGUGGGGGGGGGGGGCAUUUUGGCAAGAAAAAUGCAUAGAUGAGCUCAUUCACCCCCCCCACUCCCUCCACACACACACACAUUACACCCCCCCAAGUGUGUGUGUGUGUGUGUGUGUGUGGUAGUGGGUGGUGGGAAUGGGAUGCAGUGGGAGGCUCAAGAGCGUGAGUGUUUGGCAGUGCACGUGAGUGUGUGGGUGGCUGUGUGGGUGUCAGGGUGAGUGGGUGCAGAGCCCUCUUUGAGCCAGAGCACAUAUUUGAAGUGUGUGUGCGUUUUGUGUGUAGGUGUUGAUUGUGCAUAACUCAUGUAUGCACGAGGUCCCUACACAAUGCUAAAACAUACACUUUUUACCGUAGAUCCAGAAAUUAGCACCCACUUUUGGACUUGCUAAAAAAUACAUACAUACGUAUUCACCUUAAUCUAAGACAGUUCUGAAUAUACCAUGACAUUGUUUAUAUUUCUUUGUUGCUGGAUAGACCUUCAACAUUACAUUGACCCGACUCCGCAUAUAAGACGACCACAUUUUUUUGUCAACUCUUAUUUGCUAACCUGCUAGCAACCAUGACAUUGUUUAUAUUUCUUUGUUGCUGGAUAGACCGUCAACAUUACAUUGACUCGACUCCGCAUAUAAGACGACCACAUUUUUUUGUCAACUCUUAUUUGCUAACCUGCUAGCAACCUUUAAAGUGUAUGUGAGUGACAGGAAGAAAAGCUCAGACUUGCUCAGGGGAGAAGUCGACGACUCGUCUUUUUCAGUCUUUUUUUUGCUGGGAAUCCGGGGGGAGUGGUCUUAUAUUCGGGUCAAUACGGUACUUUGUUUUCAAGUUGCAUGCAGUCGAGGUGCCUGUCAAAGUAAAAGUGCAUUCCGGAGUGUGAAUGGUGGCAUGAAUGCGGGGGAAACUUCAGUGGAAACGUGGAGGACAAAAGGCAGACGGGGUGGGUGUGUGUGUGUGUGGGGGGGGGACAUUUAAGAGGCUUUAACUCAGGAGUACAGCCAUGGGAAUACGGGAGGAAACACACACACACACACACACACAUAUAUAUAUGCAGUGCCUACAUGCUUUCAGCGAGUACACGAACAGGCCAAUGUACAGCUGCGGCGACUCAGAGAGGGAGGCUUCAGCGAAGGGGGAAUUCCCAGUGAAGGAGACAGUGAAAACACCUCGUCUUCACAUGCCUUUCUUUCCCCGAGAUUUGGGGAAACCGGUUCCCAAACAAGCUUGCAAAAAUGCUAAAUUCAUAGUAAGGAUUCCCAGUUAAAAAAACAUCCACUUUUUGUGCUUAGCCUAGGGGGCAAGAAACAACAUGGCGACAUUAUGUCGUUAUCUGCUACUUCAAAGGCGGCCACCCCCGUCAGCGUAGGCGUUCCUGUCACAUGUUUGUCAUAGGUCGAGUUCAGCACACUUUUGUGACCUGGAAUCGAUAUUGUUUAGCAGAAAACACACACACACAAAGGUGAAUAGCAGAGGUAAUAGGUGUGUGUGUGUGUGUGUGUGUGUGGACAUGCAGACUUACAAUCCAACAUGUCUGACUUGUAUGAUGCUGCAAAACAUACUUUCACCUCAUGCCUCAUCACGUCUCAUUUCAUGCCAAAUCUGACAUUCUCUCGUUUUUUCACCUCAACAUCAUCCCAUUCUCCUUUAUUUGAAUUAUCAUAUCAUACUAUCUUCUUUUGUAUACUUAUUUUUCUCAGUAUCAUCCUAGUUUCAUGACUCAACUUUCAUAUUCUCAUCUACUGCUUUCUGUUCGAGGUUGUCAUCUCAUUUCUUCAUCUCAUAACGCUUAAAUAUGCUUAAAAUACAUCAUCUUAUUGCUGCCUUAUUGUUUGAUGUCUAAUAUCAUCAUAUCUUUUUGUUUGGAUUUUGCGUCUGAUAGAAUCCUAUCACUGCUUUGAUCAUUUUUUUUUCCCUGUCUUCAUUGCCGUCAUUCGAUGUCAGAUCUUUGCUAAGUUUGUACUGAUUUCCCAUAGCUCCUUUAUAUAUAGUUUUGGACCAUCUAGUUUCAAAGUGACUCGUUAUGUGAUCAUUUGUUUAUCGUGAUAUUCAGUGUUUUGUGUUGUUUCUCAUAUUGUUUUAUUUCAGUGUUUUAAAGAUGAUUCAGAUGUCAUCAUGUGUUUUUUCAAGGAGGUUUUGGACUUAAAAUGUCAUUCUAUCGCUGGCUUUCUUUCUCAUUGUAUGUCUGUCUAUUGUCAUUACAUUUUUAUUUUGCUGUUGUGUUUGGAUUUUGUGUCUCAUACAAUCUUAUCAAUGUUUUUGUUUUUUUUAAGUCUCAUCCUCUUAUCACUUUUUAUUUUCUCAUGAAAGCCAAUGUCUUGUGUUUUUUUCUCAUGAUCUUAUUUUUUUUACAACACUCCGGUCAUCAUGUAGUGUAGUUUACCUGAGGGGUUUGACUUCAAAUUCAUGUCAUUCUAUCUUUUGUCUUAAAUCUCAUAUGAUCUAAUCGCUUGGUUUUUUUUUUCAAGUCUCAUGUCAUUCCUUUUGCACUCUAUUCCGCUUUUUCCGUUAUUUCCUCAUAACGUCCAAUGUCUUGUAUCAUAGGAUGUCUUGGUUUUUUAUCUUAUCUCAGUGUUUUGUUUUUUAUUUUGCAAUCAUGCGAUAUUCUUUAGUUUUUAAGUUUACCAACAUGGCAUUCUUUUUUUUAUGUCUCUUAUAAUUAGAUCAAAUUUCUACUUAUUUUGAGGUCAUUCUCAUGUCAUGCUAUUGCCUCUUUCUUGAGUUUUUUGCUUGAAUCUCAGUCUCAUCUAAUAUAAAAGCAGAUCAUAUGCUUUAUUUUUUUGUUUGGUUCCUCAACUCCAAACAUGCUUUUAGUCGUAAGACACUUUAUUUCAUUCUCAACACUUCUUUUGCUGAGGUAUUAUUAAAUUAGACCUUUACUUAAUGAAGCGAAGCGCCUAAGUGUCCAAUUGUUGCAAAUGUAAUGAGAAAGGCGUAUGUAAUUGAUACAGAGGAGAGAAGCCGCCGUGAUCAUGUCUGGUAAUGAGUUUAACUUCUCAUUGCAAGAACAAGACUAGUUCUCAGUGAAUGUUUGACUUGACAGAAAAACAAAAUACCCGGCAAACAACAGAAAUCUUCCCCCCGGCCACUCAUAACCAGACGAGAGUGGGCCACAUCAAUUUAUUCAGGGAAUUUCACGUCCUGGCGGUAUCGUCGGCGCUUCACUAUUGUGCCAGCGUCUCGAUGAGACUUAUUUCCCACAAUCAGAGCGAGAGUGGCGAGGCACAUGAAAGAGAAAAAGUCCAACUUUUGUUAUAGAGAGAAGGUAACCCCCCCCCCCCCUCCCCCAACGGUGCUGGCGUAUUUCCCCUUUGACGCCGUCACCGCAGGACACUAUGAGUGUUCACUUUCACUUUGAUGUUUUGCGCUCAACCGGCCACAACAUUAGGUACACCAGUACAACAGUUAUCAUCUGUUAUCCAAAUAUUCUCAUUGGGUGUAUACCAAAUGUGUUUGCAGCAUAUUAUGGGUACUUUUUGGGAUCACCCCCUAACCCCUAAUACUUGUCUCCACGCUGAUGUGAGAAGUGUGUGGAUGAGUUGGAAUGAGAUUCACCUGCUCAUGUUGACAAUGUGAUGAAACUGAAAGGAAUGCUAAUUUUUCAUGGACUUCUAAAUGUGAUAGAAAAUAUCUAUUAUUUAUAAUCUUGGUCAGCCUGGGAUUAAUAUCAAAAACAGCACAGUGUUCAUAUUAAGGAUUUUAACUAGUGUUUUUGCAGUAGGUCCUUAAAAAUCCCAAAGCACUCCUGUCGUAAAAAACAUAAGCAUACUAUCGCUUGCCUUUGAAUCUAUCACUACGUUUUUACGUUUUGUGUAUGUCAGGGCAUUGCAUUGACAUUACAUGGAAGUUAAGAAUAAUAGUAAAGGAAGACGACCAGCACUAAACGAUUUUCUGAUAAUGUGCCUUCCUUUAGUUUAAUAGCCCUGAACUAGACGGUAGUGGUGCAUGAAUGCAUCGUUAGUGUUUCUCUUCUCACUUCAUUCUUUUUGUUACUCCGGAAAGGAUGGGAACCCCUCAUUCGGUAGAAAAAAGAGGCUCCACAAUCCUUCACUACCUUUUGUUUUUUGGGGUUUUGGUGAUGCUCUUAUUGUUUGUUUGUGUGUGUGUGUUUUUGUAGGCACCCUGCUGAACUCUCCUGCUACAGGAAAAUGUCUCCAAAUGGGAAAAGCGCUGAGCCUAAAGACAAAAGAGACCACAGCUUGAAGUUAAAAAGCCGGAAUCUACACUCGGAAGCAACUUAACGGAGGACUCUAGAACAUGGAAAAGGGAACAGGAUAGGACAGAACGCAAGGAGUUCAUCUGGUUCCUAAACUCGGGAUCGUCCAAGUUUGUUCUCGAUGUUCGAUGUUCGAAGAUGGAGUAUCGUCCGUUGGUCGUCUUUAAGAGAGGUAAAUAUUUACCCCCUCAUUUUUGUUCAGCUUUUGAAUGUUUCAUUUUCUAUUCAAAGCACAAGGGGAACACAUUUUGGUUGUUUUGUGUGUAAUUUGUGUUGCUAAAUAAUGCAUUUCCGUAUUUAAUGUGCUGAAAAAAAUACAUAUUUUGCAAAGUAUGGCUGUUAUUAGUAGUAACUAAUAAAUGAAACAGUUACAUUAAUUAUUUAUUUUAUUAUUAAUUAUUUAGAAAAUUAAUGAAUGAAUGGCACCAAAGUGUGUCAGGCACAUUUCAAUGCAAUAAACAAUGCCAGCAACCACUAUUUAAUGUAAGCAUCUGAACCAGCAUGUACAUUUUUGUAUUCAUUGUCCUGAGUUUGAUUCCACACUCGGCCAUCUGUGUGGAGUUUGCAUGUUCUCCCCGUGCAUGCGUGGGUUUUCUCCGGGUACUCCGGUUUCCUCCCACAUUCCAAAAACAUGCUAGGUUAAUUGGUGACUCCAAAUUGUCCAUAGGUAUGAAUGUGAGUGUGAAUGGUUGUUUGUCUAUAUGUGCCCUGUUAUUGGCUGGCGACCAGUCCAGGGUGUACCUCGCCUCUCGCCCAUAGACAGCUGGGAUAGGCUCCAGCAUCCCCCCGCGAUCCUUGUGAGGAAAAAGCGGUAGAAAAUGAAUGAAUGAAUGAAUCUACAUUACACAUAUGCUUUACUUCAAUUACUUCAAGUUGUUUUGUUUACCUUUGUUUCUGCUUACGGUGGUUAGAGCAGUGGUUCUCAUUCUCUGUCAUGUCCCCCCUAGGGGACAGAAAUGUUUUCAUGCCCCCCUGCCAUUUAGAAUACUAUUCAGACACUGAUAAUAUUUAUAUAGUUAUUUGUAUUGUACAGACUGAACUGGAAAAUGCAACAAAAUGGAGAGUCCAAUUGCAUGUUGAGUACAAUAAAUGUGUACAUGUUGGCAGGUCUGCACUAAUGUUGAAAAGCACUGGGUUAGAUGAACGAUUAGCAUUAAUUAUAUGACACAUCUACUUUGGGCGUGUUCUAAGCUUUCUUUUGGUAGUUUCCGUGUUUAUUUAGGCUUAGAACACAAUAUUCAGAGUCCCUUGAGAGAUCAAGGUCCAAAUGGUCUAAAAUGGCCGGCACUGAAGGGGUUAGCUUUUGAAAAAUGCCUGGGAUUGAAUGAGUUAAUAACUGGCAGGGAGAAUCGACCGCUUGAAUUUUAUGAGCCGUCUAUUUGCAUGGUCGUGCAUGAUUGAGUGUACCAUGGACUUUGUGGAUUAUUUUCAGUCUUUCUAUUUAUUCCCCUUAAUGCAAAGUGUCAGGCAUCAUUGCUAACAAGAGGAAGGAGGAAUUAGUCUAGUUUGGCCAUGCCCGCCCAUAACAAACAGAGAGCUUUGACUUUGUGGAUUAUUUUGAAUUUGUGUCUUUAUUUCUAUUACGUCAAGUGGUGGUUAUCAUUAAUUACCGGCUGGUAAAGCGUCACUGAACGUCAAUAGUGUGAGUGCGUUCUCAGUCUGUCCAAAGUGCAGCGUGACAAUGACAACGUGACAGCGGAAGACUCUUAAUGGCAGGAAUGUGUGUCUGGAGGAAAACGUCCAGCACAUUUCCUUCUUAAUAAAAGGAAGAUUGGAGUCAAGUGACCAUCAGCUGGCUGCCGUAUGUUUGAUGGCGGGGGUCACGAGGCUUCAGGUAUGCGGCGUUGGACUCCUCACCUAUGUGCGGGUGGCGUUUUAUUAAGAGUGGGUCAGUGCUCCCAUUAUGUCGUCGGGGGGCUGGAGGCGGCGUGGCCUCGGGGAUAAUGAGAAAGAAUGACAGGAAUCUGCGGCUGAUAAUGCCAUGCUCCGAGAUGUUCGUCAGUAGAUAAUCUCCCAUAUCCUUCCCCCCACCCGCCCUCGGGCUGUGCUCUAUGAGUCGUAUUAAAGGGCUGUUCCGUCCUCUUCCCCCUGCAGACAGACUCACUCGGGACCCCUUUGGCGCCCUCGUCCUUGUCCUAUGACCAUCCGGCUGCCAUCACUUGCUCAGUAGGCAGUGUAGAUCCUGUGUAGCAUCAGCAGCUACAUCUGGCUACUGGGUCUCUGGCGGCAAAGCCUACUUCCCGGUCCUUGCUUUUGUCGUCCUGAUUGGCUGUGGCGUCACAUCCCGUGACCCCCUACUCCCCUCCAAACAGGAUGUUCUCUGUCACAACCCCACAAGAGGCCCUUGUCUUUUUCACCCCCCAUUCUUCCUACAUGGAUUUGCUUUGUCCUGAACCUGGCAUACAAUGUAGAUUUCUGUGUGCUCCAAUUCUACAGCUACAUUGUCUGCUGGGUUUCUGGCUAGCAAUAUAAUCAACCGCCGUAGAAUCAAUACUACAAUACAUCAACCAAUAACAUCAACAGCUCCACAGAAGGUAAGAUAGCUAUGGCACUCAAAUAAAAUGUUCUGCCAUUUAAACCUUCCAAUAAAAGGACCUUAUUGCUCAUACUGAGUUCUGUCACUUUGUCCAAGUGUGUGAAUUGUUGAUCAACUGUGUCUUGAAGUAAUUGUGUCAAGUGCAAUAUUUAGUUGUGACCAGCAGAGGCGCUAUUGAUUGAACUAACUGGUGCAUGCAACUUCUACAGGUAGCAUGCAGUCAUCCCAAUACAAUGAAUAGUUAACCAUUUAUUUUCAUUUUGUCAAUGUAAUGUAGACAAAUGGGGGCGGCACGGCGGACGAGUGGUUAGCGCACAGACCUCACAGCUAGGAGACCAGGGUUCAAUUCCACCCUCGGUCAUCUCUGUGUGGAGUUUCCAUGUUCUCCCCGUGCAUGCGUCGGUUUUCACCGGGUACUCCGGUUUCCUCCCACAUUCCAAAAACAUGCUAGGUUAAUUGGUGACUCCAAAUUGUCCAUAGGUAUGAAUGUGAGUGUGAAUGGUUGUUUGUCUAUAUGUGCCCUGUGAUUGGCUGGCGACCAGUCCAGGGUGUACCCCGCCUUUCGCCCAAAGACAGCUGGGAUAGGCUCCAGCACCCCCGCGACCCUCGUGAGGAAAAGCGGUAGAAAAUGAAUGAAUGAAUGGAUGUAGACAAAUGCCCAUUGAUCUUGUUUCCUAGUCUUUUCAAGCAGCCAUUUUGGUGUUCUGCCUUCAAUUUAUGACAAAUAAUGUGGUCCAACAAAUUUGUUGGUUAAAUCCUUUCGAGUUUCAUCACUUCAGGCACGGCAGUGCAAGGACCCUAUUGAAAUAUACUCAGUAGCUCCUCCACCUGGAGAAUUCAACUUUUAAACUUUACUCCACCCCAGUACAGGGGGCAGCAAGGUCACAUCUGUGCUGUAUGGUAAUUGCUAUGUAAAGCUUGUAUCAAAAUACACGUGCCGUGCACCCACGGAACCACAAGAAUGUCCACUUAAAUUUUAGCAAAACAAGACAAUUAAAACCACAAACACUGAAAUGGAGAAAAACAAGCAAACAGUCGUGAAUAAAUUGGCAAACAAAAGACAAAUGUGAAAAUUUUGGCACUGUUGAAUAACUGAAUAGUUAAUACAGUGGAACCUUGGUUAGCGUCCGCCACAGUUUUUUGGUUAACAUUGAAAAUAUAUGUCAAAGUUUUGCCUGUGUUUGCUUAUAUUCUCUGCUUAGCGUCCAAUAUGUCAUGUUGUGUUGCUAAUGCACUGCACUGAGUCCAACCAUGUUAAUGUAUUUUCAACAAUACAUUGCUGUUAGCAUCCUAUUAGCUUGCUAGCAUGGAAACCGGUAGUCUGUUUCGUCGCCCGUCUGUGAUGUCAAAUAUGUUAACACAAAAACAUCUUUAUAGUUUUACAAUGAUAGUUUUACAUGCAUAACACGAUUCUAAAUGCAUAUAAAUGAUGAAUGAAAGGGGAAAUAGAGAAUUAAUUGACUUUUACUUUCACUGAUUUCACUUGAUUCUUGACGUGACUCUUCCCAAAGACGCAAUGUGGCAGCAAGAUCCACACUGAAACAUGAGUUCUUGAAAUCAAUAGUGUUUCUCACCUUCAUUGUCGAAAAUAUUGUCACUUGCUACUUUAUUUAGCUCCAUUUUGGGUUAUUGCGGUGAGAAACCAUAUGAAUAUAUGGUGUCUUUGGGAACCGUCACAUCAAUAAUCAAGUCUUAAGUGAAGGUAAACCUAACCUUAAAUGUUCAUUCAUCCUCUUUAUUCAUUAUUUAUAUGCAUUACUAAUUAUUUUCUUAAUGUAAAACUACAAUUGUAAAACUAUAAAACUGUUUUAUGGAUGAAUUGGAUUUACAUUAUUUCUUAUGGGGAAAAUGGAUUCAGUUAACGUCCAUUUUAGUGAGAGUCAGAUCUUUUGGAAUAGAUUAAUGAAGCGAACCAAGGUUUCACUGUACUCAGCUGAGUACUAAUAUACAGUGGUGUAAAAAAGUGUUUGCGUCCUUCCAGAUUUCUUUUUUCUUUUUUGCAUGUUUGUCCCACUUAAAGGUUUCUGUUCAUCAAACAAAUGUAAAUAUUAGUCGGUGACAACACAACUGAACACCAUGGAACCAAGAAUUGUGCCGUUUACCAAAAAAUCUUGAAGGAAAAUGUCGGUUUGUGACCUCAAGCAAAAUGAACUUGGGUUAUGCAGCAAGACAAUGAUCCAAAACACAUCAGUGAGUACACCUUUGAACGAAGAAACACAAAAUGAAGACUGUGGCCUAGUCAAAAUCCUGACCUGAAUUCUAUUGAGAUGCUGUGGCAUGAUCUUUAAACGGUGUUCAGUGUGACUGAAUUGCAACAAUUCUGCAAAGAUGAGUGGAUCAGAAAUUGCAGUUGUUGCUGCUAAGGGUGGUUCAACUAGUUAUUAGGAUUAGGGGGCAAUCACACUUUCACACGGGGCAAUGCAGGUUUGGAUUUUUUUCUCCCGAAAAAAAAAGCAUUUAAAAACGUCAGUUUGUGUUCAGUUGUCUUGCAAUUGCCUAACAUUUAAAUUUGUUUAAUGAUCUGAAAUGAUUAGUGUGACAAAAAAGAAAUCAGGAAGAAGUCAAAAACGUUUUCACACCACUCUACAUACAGUCGUACUUCCGUUUUUGUUAUUAAUUUGUUCCAAAUGGCUCCAGUCACCCAAAAUAAUAACCAAAAAAUAUAUUUUAUAGGAAAUAAUUAUAAUUGUACAUGCAGAAAUAGUUAUAAAUGAUGAUUAAAACUGAUGAACACUGAACAUAACUAACAAUAACUAAUAAUAAGAUCCAAGAUGGCUGGAUAAACAAGUGUUUGUAAUACAUUUAUAUGUUUAUAUGUAUACACAUAUCUUUAUGAAUGUCUAAUAUGAGUGUUCCAUUUUUAGCCCUUAUGCCGCAUGGUUGUGACCAACCAUGCUGUAAAUGUCUUCACGUGUCAGCCAAAGAUAGCAGGAGUAUUGUGGUUAAGUCAACAAGGCACAAAGGCGGCUGAUUGUCAGGAGGUUUCCAGACUGCUGUCACACUGACUCCUUAUUAGCGUUUUCUUGCCUGCCCGCACACACACACACACACACACACACACACACACACUUCUCAAGACAAAGCUGAAGAAAAGUUUUCCUUCUGUCCAUAAAAAUAGAGCCAUACCUCAUGUACAUGUCAUUAAAAUGUGCUGAUUAUGGCUUCAUUCGUCCCAAAAACACAACACAAAACAAUAUUGAGUGAAGGUGUGACCUCUGCGGGCCACACAGCAAUAAAAUCCAACCAAACAUGAUGAAAAUGAACUCCAUUCAGCUGGGAGUGGAGUCAGCGCUCCGCAGCUACAAAAAUAUCUUCACAACAAAAUGAGAACAAUUUUGAGCUGGAGGCGAUGUUUUAACAAAAAUGGGGAGGAAAGUCUCAAAUUAUUUUGCAGAAACAAGGAAAAGUGAUGUGACCUUAAUUUCCCAAAGGAAGACCACCUGAAAGAAUCUAAAGCAAGACAAGACAGAAGAUUAAGCUUCGGAAAUCCUUAACCACUUUCACACAGAGGUCUCGAGAUGCUUCAUUUUCUUUUUUUCCCCACAUUUAAUAUAUAAUGUAAAAUAUUAUAAUUAUAUGCAUCAGUCAAGUGGCAUAACAUGGAUGUUGGAUGAGGGAAAGAUAAGGAUCUCCAGAUUGUUUUAUACAAAUAUUAUAGUUUUGUGCUUUGCAUUAAAAUAUACAUUUAUUUUUGCCUUGUGUGGGGAAAAUAACAUGUAUUUCCAAUUUUGUGAGUUUCCUUUGGUUUUUUUAUAUUGUAAUUUUUAAAAUUGUGCUUUCAAUAAGAAGAGAAACAGGAAAAUACAAGGUGUUUUUACUUUGGUUUUUUUAUUCUUCAGAUUGUGUGAGUUUCUUUUGUUUUGAUACAAAUAAAACAUUUUUGUUUCAAAUAAAAAUGGAGACGUGAUUAAUUUCUUUGUCUAUAUAUGCCCUGUGAUUGGCUGCCGACCAGUCUAGGGUGUACACCGCCUCUCGUCCGAAGACAGCUGGGAUAGGCUCCAGCAUACCCCUGCGACCCUCUUGAGGAUAAGCAGUAGAAAAUGAAUGAAUGAAUAAAAAUGGAGAUGUGAAUGGUUGUUUGUCUAUAUGUGCCCUGUGAUUGGCUGUCGACCAGUCU